rnacentral:tRNA from 1 species
GGGGAUAUGGCGGAAUUGGUAGACGCUACGGACUUAAAAUCCGUCGGUUUUUAUAUACCGUGAGGGUUCAAGUCCCUCUAUUCCCA